UACGGAGGGAGCUAGCGUUGUUCGGAAUUACUGGGCGUAAAGGGCGUGCAGGCGGUUUCUUAAGUCAGGCGUGAAACCAUUCGGCUAAACCGGGUGUAGUCGUCUGAGACUGGGAGACUAGAGUGUGGUAGAGGCGUGUAGAAUUCCGGGUGUAGUGGUGAAAUGCGUAGAUAUCCGGAGGAAUACCAGUGGCGAAGGCGGCACGCUGGGCCAUAACUGACGCUAAGACGCGAAAGCAUGGGUAGCGAACGGG
rnacentral:rRNA from 1 species